ensembl:misc_RNA Metazoa_SRP Metazoan signal recognition particle RNA
GCAGGGUGUGGUGGUGCACACCUAUCAUCCCAGCUACUCAGGAGGCUGAGGCAGAAGGAUCACUUGAGUCCAGGAGUUCUGGGCUGUAGUGCGCUAUGUCAGUUGGGUGUCCACACUAAAUUUGGCAUCAUUGUGAUUACCUCCCAGGAGCCAGGGACCACCAGGUUGCAUAAGGAGGGGUGAAAUGGCACAAGUUGAAAAUGGAGCAGGUGAGAGCUCCCAUGCUUAUUAGUAAUGGGAUCACACCUGUGAAUAGCCACUGCACUUCAGCCUGGGCAGCAUAGCAAGACCCCUUCUCCU